GGGGGAUUAUUGCACAAUGGGCGGAAGCCUGAUGCAGCGACGCCGCGUGAGGGAUGACGGCCUUCGGGUUGUAAACCUCUUUCAGUAGGGACGAAGCGUAAGUGACGGUACCUGCAGAAGAAGCACCGGCUAACUACGUGCCAGCAGCCGCGGUAAUACGUAGGGUGCGAGCGUUGUCCGGAAUUACUGGGCGUAAAGAGCUCGUAGGCGGUUUGUCACGUCGUCUGUGAAAUCCUAGGGCUUAACCCUGGACGUGCAGGCGAUACGGGCUGACUUGAGUACUACAGGGGAGACUGGAAUUUCUGGUGUAGCGGUGGAAUGAACAGAUAUCAGGAAGAAGACCGAUGGCGAAGGCAGGUCUCUGGGUAGUAACUGACGCUGAGGAGCGAAAGCAUGGGUAGCGAACAGG
rnacentral:rRNA from 1 species